CUAAAAAAUUAUGAAUAUUACAUUAAACGGAAUUGCCAAUCUGACGUAAUUUUUCAUCAUGUAAAUCAGUUCACGAUGUAAAAUUACGUGUGUUUUGCUCCAAAAUCGCUAAAUAUCAAAGAAAAACUAUGAAGUCACCAACACACCUAAGAACACCUAAUAAUAAAUCAAUAUUAACUUAAUUUCCCAUCUAAUAAGAUGCACAUAGUUGGAGCGUGUUUUUUGAUGUAAUAUUCUGUGUAAUUUGACUCAAUUUCCCGUACUCUUGAUGCUUCUCGCUUGACCGUGCAACGCGACGGUCGCCAUGUUGAUUGUUGUGUUUGCGAUCUUUGCAGAAUUGUAAGCCACCAUGUGUCUUAAUUUUGUUUGAUUUGGCCGGGAAUUUCAUCAUUUUUUAAUUGAGCAGACAUAUUGAACGAUAGCAAAGGCCAUUUUAUCAACAACAAAAAACCCUUUGUUAAAAGACCUGCUGGACGGUGAAAUGUUCCAGAUCAGUUCGUGUCACGACCACUUUUUGAAGCGCCUAGAACCGUGGUAUCCUACAGGAUUUGGCCAAGACCCAAGAGAAGCGGAAGUGAACGGUUACUGGUGCCACCGUACACAUUAAAAGUGGUCCUGAUUCCUUCUGAAAUGCGUGGCAAGCUCGAAGAAUCGUGACAUGCCCAGGUGGAGAAGCUUCAGGACCACUUAAAGAUCCGGAACCAGAAGCAGCAUGGGAAUAACUUUGUGGCCAAAUUGCUUUACUUCGUUCGCUGAAAGAUGGCCAGUUUCGGGUUUUGCAAGCCGUCAAGGAAGUGAGUUCAUCGAAACCGGAACCGGAGAGCUAGAAGGAACCAGGCCAAGUGAUGGUCAAGUGUCGCGAAAAUCAUGAAAAAUAAUUAUUUUUAUUUUGAUAAUGUGUAAAUAAAUGAUUAAGUUCAAUA